rfam:Rhizoctonia solani AG-1 IA unplaced genomic scaffold scaffold2, whole genome shotgun sequence.
UCCGAUAUGGUGUAGUGGCUAACAUUAUCGCCUUUCAAACGGCCAUGUGACUAUUACAUGACUCGUACGCGAUAGCGCUGGGUUCGAUUCCCAGUAUCGGAG